CACCUGUGAUAUUGAGCUCAGUCGGUACAGCAUGAGACCCUGAAUCUCAGGGUUGUGAGUUCGAGCCCAAGGCUAGGUGA